UACGUAGGAGGCGAGCGUUGUCCGGAGUUACUGGGCGUAAAGAGCGCGCAGGCGGUCGUUCAAGUCGCGUGUGAAAGCCCCCGGCUCAACUGGGGAGGGUCACGCGAUACUGAUCGACUCGAAGGCAGGAGAGGGAAGUGGAAUUCCCGGUGUAGUGGUGAAAUGCGUAGAUAUCGGGAGGAACACCGGUGGCGAAGGCGGUUCUCUGGGCCUUACCUGACGCUGAGGAGCGAAAGCGUGGGGAGCGAACAGG
rnacentral:rRNA from 1 species